AUCACGGAUUCAGAUAUCAAAUAUUUAUAAGAUCUCACAAAUUUGAAGGAUCUGCAGUAGUUUUCUUGUAGAAUUACAGAUCUGGGUGUUUCUUACUUCAGAGGCUUGUCUAAGUUAACUCAGCUAAACCUGUAGCUGUCCAGUGACUGCUGCUUGUUUAGAGGCUAUCUCAGGAGAUGGUGUGGCAAGAAAGGGAGAUUGCUGGCUGCUGCUCAGCUCCAUAUCAGGUGGAGCGCAAGAAGAUCUUUCCUCGUGUGGAUAAGGCUGCGUUGAUCCCUGUUUUAUUUGGCUCAGUACAGCAGAGUAUGUACCGCCAUUGCCUCUUCCUUUUCAGCCAUCCAU